UCUUACGGGUGAGCAAAGAAAGUGGUUUCUUGAGAUGGAAUUUUCUCUUGGUGAAGAUGCUGAGAA
rnacentral:pre_miRNA from 1 species